rnacentral:lncRNA from 1 species
UAGGAUUCGGACUUAAAUUGUAAGACUUUUUUCUUCUUGCUCUUUUCCUUCUACCUUUGAUUUAACUUACAAAAAAGCACAUAGACAAAAUAUAUUUAAUUCUCUAUUUAGUCAUAAUAGUUUCACAGACAAAAGUCAAAAUGAGAUUUGAAUUAUACUUUGUUGACAGGUAACUGAUUGCCCUAUAAAUAUCUCAAUGACAUUUCAUUGCCUUUUUUGAUAAAUAUGACAUCAUACUUUUGUCUAUGAUGCAUGAAAAUUGAAAAAAUCUAAUUAUUACAACUUUUGAAAGAUAAGCAUUUAGUAGAUCUCUUUAAGUGCAAUAAAACAAUAUUACAUCUCAACAAAACUUACCCUGUACUAACAGAUACCCAGGAAAUAAAUAGUGAGUAAAUUUGAAAUUGCGAGCCUUUUUCACUUAUAAUUCUGAAUAUACAGAUUUAAUGAAAUAGCUCUCUUAUUACAAAUAAACUCAAAGAGCUGGAAAGCAAAUACAAGAACUAAAUGUAGAAGAGUUAGUUGGUAGAUAUAGUUAAAUGGGUGUAGUUAUAAUAAAAUUUGUUUUUACUUGUUUUUUUAUGUUAGAGCGAUUUCUUUCUGAACUACCACUUCACAUUGAAUUAUAGACCUUCAGGAAUAGUUGCCUCCUUUUGGAUUAAUUCAAUAAACAUUUACUAAAUAGCUCACAUCUAUGGCAAGUCCUAUGCUAAGACUUGGGGAUAUAAUCAUGAAUAUUUUUUGUCUUCUGAGGCCCACUGCCUAUUGGGAAAACUAACAAAUUAUUAUUUCAACAAACCUACAAUACGGGGAUACAAUGAAGAUAAGCACAAAACAAUAAGGGAGCAAUGUGGUCUAAUUACCUUGAAGGACCAAAAGGACUGAGUGAAGUAAAAUGUUAAAGUGUCAAAAGAGUUACAGAAAGGGGAAACAGAAUGAGACAAGACACACAUGUUUUGGAAAUUGCAUUCUGGCUUCUGCAUUAAUGUCAUUACAUUUGCUCUUACAAGAUCACUAGAGGCAGUCACCUCAUAUUAAUGCCUCCUGCAGCUUUUGAUGCUUUCCUGUAACACCCUUCCUCUGGUAUCUGAGGCAUCCUACUUGGUUUGUUUCUAUCUCUCAAGUCAUUCACAGUCUUGUUUAUGGCUCUCUUUUUAGUCUCCUCUUUAUCCGUUAAAGGUUAGUAUUCCUCACAAUUUGGUCCUGACCUCUCUUCUUUCCUUACUCUUCACAUUUUCUGCAAGCAAUCUGAUCCAGUCCCAUGGUUUCAAUUUUCAAAAAUCUUUUGAAACCGCUAAAACAUCUGUCCCUAAUUUCUCUCUCUCUCUCUUCUGGGUUCCAAACACAUAAUACAGCACUUUUGCCUGAUAGUUCUAUCUGGCUGUUCUUGAGGGUCCUCAAGCCCAACAUGUUCUAAAGCAAAUGUUUUCCUGCCCCAUCGCAGUGCAUGGUACUACCAUUUUCCUGGUUGUCAAUGUCAGAAAUCUGAAAUGACAUCUUUGAUUUUUCCUCCCCCUUAGUUCUCCAUGUCCAAUUAGUUAUGCCAGUAAUAACUUCUAAAGAGUCUCUCAAAUUCCCCUGUGCUGUAUCCUCUUGGUAUAAUUAUCAGACUUUUGCAAGACUCUCCUAAGUUGCCUCCAGCCUCAAGUUCUCCUCCCUUCAAUCCAUUUUCUGCAAUGCAGUCAGGUGAUCUUGGUAAAGCACAACUUUGAUCACAUCAUUCAUUCUCAUUAUUAAAACCCCCUAAUAGUUCUCAUUUAUAUAAAAAUCAAGUUAAACUUAUUCAUAAAGUGGCAUGUAUCUCGAUUUGCCUGAGACAAUUAAGUUUACGAUUUUAGCUCCAGGAUCUUCUGCUAGCACCCCCUUAACUCUCAAAAGGGUCUUGGUUCAGAUGAUAACUUAUAUUGUCACCCUACAUAUAAAAUCUUCAAAGAUUUCUGCUUGUGUCUUCAGCCUCAUCUCUGUUACUCUCUUUUUCAUUCUAAGCCCUAGCCACCCUAAACUACCAAAGGUACUCAAACUGCAAUGCUCUCUCUCACCUCCAGCCUUUGCCUUUUGCCUGUAUCGUCCUUUCUCCUGUUUCCCUUUCUUUGCCUCUCUCACUCCUACUUAACCUCCAGGUGUCAGACUGGAUAACAGUUCUUCUUGAAAGCCUUCUCUGAUUCUCUUCUACCUCAGCUGAUCAAGUGUGCCUUCUAAGGGAUUCCAUACCAUUCUAGUUACUUUUAUUGUAACACUUUUCAUGCUAAUUAAUAAUUUCCUACUCUUUCUUUCACCUUCACCAUAUUUCUUCCUUGAAUAAAUCUGACCUGUUCACUAUUGUAUUUCUACCACUUAGCACAGUGCCUAGCACACACAGUAGAAGCUAAAAUGCUAAAAGGCCUGUGAAUGGUGAUGGAAUUUUUAAUCAACCUGAACAUAGUUUUAUUUAGACUGAGAUGAAAACUCUUUAUAAAAAUUGAUUUAUCUUGUAAUUUAAUGAGCAAUGACCGUUCGGUAUUUUGGCCUCCUUUAUCUUAUUUAUGUUAUCAAAUUUUGCCAAUGGAAAUAGAGUGAACAGCGAACCUUGUAAUUCGCUGAAGAAAAUAAUAAAAAAUUAUUUAAAAUACAAUUUUGGGGUUUUGUUUAGUAUUUAUCAUAAUAAUCUUU